rnacentral:sRNA from 1 species
UUUUGGCGUUAGGGAUGGUAGUGGAAAUCCUUUUUUUGAGGCUUAUUGUGCCAAAAAAAGAUUGGAUUUAACACUCGCCCUUGU